UCCUCAGACGAACGCUGCGCAGCCUAACACAUGCAACUCGAGCGCACCUUCGGGCGAGCGGCGGACGGGUUAGUAACGCGUGGGAAUGUACCCAGAUCUACGGAAUAGCCUCGGGAAACUGAGAGUAAUACCGUAUACCGCCUUCGGGGGAAAGAUUUAUCGGAUUUGGAUCAGCCCGCGUUAGAUUAGAUAGUUGGUGGGGUAAUGGCCUACCAAGUCUACGAUCUAUAGCUGGUUUUAGAGGAUGAUCAGCAACACUGGGACUGAGACACGGCCCAGACUCCUACGGGAGGCAGCAGUGGGGAAUCUUAGACAAUGGGCGCAAGCCUGAUCUAGCCAUGCCGCGUGUGUGAUGAAGGCCUUAGGGUCGUAAAGCACUUUCGCCAGAGAUGAUAAUGACAGUAUCUGGUAAAGAAACCCCGGCUAACUCCGUGCCAGCAGCCGCGGUAAUACGGAGGGGGUUAGCGUUGUUCGGAAUUACUGGGCGUAAAGCGYRCGUAGGCGGACUGGAAAGUAUGGGGUGAAAUCCCGGGGCUCAACCCCGGAACUGCCUCAUAAACUAUCAGUCUAGAGUUCGAGAGAGGUGAGUGGAAUUCCGAGUGUAGAGGUGAAAUUCGUAGAUAUUCGGAGGAACACCAGUGGCGAAGGCGGCUCACUGGCUCGAUACUGACGCUGAGGUGCGAAAGUGUGGGGAGCAAACAGGAUUAGAUACCCUGGUAGUCCACACCGUAAACGAUGAAUGCCAGUCGUCGGGUAGCAUGCUAUUCGGUGACACACCUAACGGAUUAAGCAUUCCGCCUGGGGAGUACGGUCGCAAGAUUAAAAC
rnacentral:rRNA from 1 species